rnacentral:rRNA from 1 species
GGAAAUUGGAGUUGAAUUGGACUUUAUUUGCGCAGUAUAGGUGGGAGACGUUGAGAAUGUUCUUGCGGGAAUAUUGGAGUCAUCAGUGAGAUACCACUCUUGUAAUGUUAGAUUUCUAACUUUGUAUCAUUAUCUGGUCAAAGGACAGUUUCAGGCGGGCAGUUUGACUGGGGCGGUCGCCUCCCAAAGGGUAACGGAGGCGCACAAAGGUUUCCUCUGAACGUGUAGAAAUCGUAUCUAGAGUGUAAAGGCAUAAGGAAGCUUGACUGUGAGACCUACAAGUCGAGCAGGGACGAAAGUCGGUCUUAGUGAUCUGACGGUGCUGAGUGGAAAGGCCGUCACUCAACGGAUAAAAGUUACUCUAGGGAUAACAGGCUGAA